AGAAGAUGGAGCUGAAUCAAGGAUGGAGAAAGGUGAUUGUGUUCAGCUAAGAGCUGGCUUAGGGACUCUGGAGAAUUCCAAAGCUCAGCCUAGGAACUCAAGGAGAGUAGAUCCUUUAGGGCAGUGGACCCACCGGCAAUGGUAUUAUUAGAUGAGGGUCCGACACGGCGGGAUGGGACUGAGAGGUGGUACGGAAUAGCCCAUGGUCUGUGUAUUAAGGAGCCAUCUUGGCUUCCUUUUAAGGUCUUCCUCGCCAUUCGUUUUCAGCAGUAUCUUGCUCCAGUGACCCCUGUCAUGACCUUUUUCCUUUCUCUUCAUUUCCUGGUGCCCUGGCUCCUCUGAGUCCUGUCUGUCACCCCCUGUCACCACUGCCAUCUCUCACCAUGGCUCCACUUGGUCCAGGAGACAAAAGGUGGAACAUCAUGGUAACGGAAGUGAGUGGAAGAGGAGGCUGUUCACACCAUGGCAAACAGGAAGUAGAGUGGAGGAACUCACAGCAUGGUGGACAGGAAGCAGAGUGGAGCAGUCAAAUCACCGCAGACAGGAGACAGAAGGGAGCCGCUCACAAUAUGGUGACAGCCCAUCAUUAAGGGGAUCAAGGCAGGACCCCAAGCAGGAGCUUGAAACAGAAACCAUGGAGGAAUACUGCUUGUUCGCUCUCACCGGCUCACUGGCUCAUGAUUAACUAACUUUCUUGUACUGGGACAAAGACAUAAUUAAAGUAAAAUGAUUUGUCACCAUGA